GCCCCGAGUGGCGGUUGUUUCAAGAUGGCGGACGUGGCGGGCCCUUCCCGCCCCGGUGCCGCUGCGUUCUGGAGCCGGGACUUUUCUGAUGAAGAGCAAUCAGUAGUGUACGUUCCAGGCAUUUCUACUGAAGGAAAUGUCAGAUCAAGACACAAGCUGACAAGUCCAAAAGCUGAUGUUAAACUUAAGACUUCCAGGGCGACUGAUGCUUCAAUCUCUAUGGAGUCCUUAAAAGGCACAGGAGAUUCAGUAGAUGAACAGAAUUCCUGCAGGGGAGAAAUAAAGAGUGCAUCACUGAAGGAUUUAUGUCUUGAAGACAAAAGACGCAUUGCAAACUUAAUUAAAGAAUUGGCCAGAGUAAGUGAGGAAAAGGAAGUGACGGAGGAAAGACUGAAAGCUGAGCAGGAGUCAUUUGAGAAGAAGAUCAGGCAGUUGGAAGAACAGAAUGAACUGAUCAUCAAAGAAAGGGAAGCUCUUCAGCUACAGUAUAGAGAAUGCCAAGAACUUCUAAGCCUGUAUCAGAAAUAUUUGUCAGAACAACAAGAGAAGCUCACCAUGUCUCUCUCAGAACUUGGUGCUGCUAGAAUGCAGGAACAGCAGGUAUCCAGUAGAAAAAGCACUCUCCAGUGUUCAUCUGUGGAACUGGAUGGUUCCUACUUGAGUGUAGCCAGACCGCAGACCUACUAUCAAACCAAGCAAAGACCUAAGUCUGCAAUCCAGGAUUCAGCUUCAGAAUCCCUUAUAGCAUUUAGGAAUAAUUCUUUGAAACCAGUAACCCUUCAUCAUCCCAAAGAUGAUCUAGGUAAGAUACCAUCAGAGACCACAACAUGUCAUUAUGAAUCUCCAGGGAGAAAACCAGUAGAUGCAGUCCCAACAGAGAAAAUGCCACAAGAAGAAUUGCACAUGAAGGAAUGUCCACACCUUAAGCCUACUCCUACUCAAUGCUGUGGUCAUAGACUUGCUGCAGGUCAUGUUCAUGAGAGCCAUUCUACAAACACGGCCCCUCAACAUCCUAAGACACAUCCAGAAUCAUGCAGUUAUUGUGGGCUUUCUUGGGCGUCUCUGUUGCAUGGUGGAGGGGCGCUGCAACCAAAUGAAACUUUGAAAAAGCAGAUCUCAGAAGAUAGAAAGCAGCAACUGAUGCUUCAGAAAAUGGAGCUGGAAAUUGAAAAGGAACGCCUUCAGCAUCUGCUGGCCCAGCAGGAGACAAAGCUUCUUCUAAAACAGCAACAGCUUCACCAGUCUCGACUGGAUUACAAUUGGUUAAGAGCUCAGGCUCUGUUUAAGUCGAGAGAAGUGGUUGCUGAAAAAGAGCUUACUAAACCCCAAGAACUCAAACUGGAUAUGAAUGGCAGUGCCUCUGGACCAAGUUUAUUAAAGUCAAACUGCGAUGGCUGGCUGCUUGGAACAUCAUCAUCCAUUAAAAAGUACCAAGAAACCCCAAACAGUGGAGAGAAUAGGAAGGAGAAGAAGACAGUUGGGUUUCAUUCGCAUAUGAAAGAUGAUGCCCAGUGGUCAUGUCAAAAGAAAGAUACGUAUAGACCCCAAAGAGGUACAAUGACAGAAGUUAGAAAAGAUGCGUCCACAUCUCCUAUGCCAACAGGAAGCCUAAAGGAUUUUGUCACCACAGCCUUACCAUCAUUACAGCACACCACCUCCCGGUUUGGUGCCUGGAAUGCUGAUGUAGACUUGGAAACUAGCCCAGAUGGAAACAAGAAUGAUGAGGCCACAGUGUCCAUGAAAGUAGGGCAAGGCCGGGUGUCCAAUGGAGCCAGAGGGAGUACCAAGAGGGAGGUCCUUGGAACACGGAGGAACCAGAAGGCCCAGGAGUAGGAAGCAGUGUUGGUGUUUGUAAGGAAGUAGAAGAGGUGGUUGGCCAGAGGACACGCCCUGUUCGAGAUCUAACCAGGACAUCAGAGCUGGCCUCUUCCUCCCUUCUUCCUUGCAGGCCACAGCCAAGCAGCCUUAACUGACACCUCCUUGGCACCAGCACACAAACAAUGGCCCAUGGCCUGACUUCUGCCAGGAUGCCCUAGGCCCGUGCCCUUCACCUGUUCUGCACCUGUAAGAUUGGUGUUUGCCCUCUUUGAUUCUUCCAGGUGCUGCCCCACCCUGUUCUUCUCCCCAUUCUUUAAGUGCUGAGAUUGGCCAGUCCCGUGCUGAGAUGAGGGAGCCGGAGGAAGGGAGACUGACUCUCACUCCUCACUGCUGUCCAUUGGGAUGGGAUGAACUUCACAGCUCCAGUUUCCUGUGUUCUCCUCUCAGCUGCAGCCUAGAACCUCAUCCCCCAUACAAGGUCCUGGCUUCUUAAGACACCUCUGCCUCAAUGGCCCUGGCUCUCCAGAUCUCAGCCUUGAGGAGUGUCAGCAUCAGGCGGAGCUGAGAGCCGUUCCAGAGUUGGAACCUCAGUUGUCAUCCACAUGGCCAUCUGCCUCCAUGAGGGGUGCCUAUGGAACUGGAAUGUUCAUCUCUGGUUCCAGUGUUUUCAGCCCCCCUCUCAGUGAGCCAUACCCAGAAGACAGCAAAAUUGCCUGCUGGUUUCACAGCCCAUCUCUGGUGACAGCUCCCAGGGUGCCUACAGUCUUUAGCCACAACACCUUCAGUGGAGGUAGGGGAGGACUAUGUCCCAGAGACAAUGGUAUGCAGUGGGGAGGUGGACACAAACAGGAGAGGUCUAGGAAGGUCACUUGGGGAUCUCCGGGAGGCUUCAUGGGGUCUGAAAGAGUCAGAGGGGGUGCUGGGGGUUGAGGUUGUCCUCUUUCAGCUGCAGGUAUGCAACAGAAAUCACCGUGUUGACUAGUCUGAGGCUCGAAACCUAAAGACACCUCCCCACUCCCCAGAGAAUUUCUUAGAACACACCUUCCAUUCUUCUCAGGGCAGAAUAAUACCCAGUGUGACAUCUAGCCCCUUUAAGCUAAUUCUUCCAAGAAGUGCAGCUCUCUAGAAUGGACAGAGCAGGCUGUCACUUGGACUUGCAGCCCUGUUGAGCAGCAAAGGGGGGUUAGUUUAGGGGACAUUCAGGGUCUCCUCAGUCCUUCUCUCUUGGAACCGUGUCCACAUUUAGGUCAAGACUUGAAGGCCUUCCCUUAUUUGCUGAUACAUGAAGAUCUUUCUCUCCAGCCUAGUGCAUCACAGGCCAGCAUCAGAAGCACAGACUUAGCCCCUGGCCCUGAGAAGAGAGAUGGGAGGAGAGGAUGGAGCAUGGGGUCCAGGCACUGCUCUGUAGCUGGGGCUCUGAGCUCUGCUCUCUAUACCCUCCUUCAGAGGAGACAGGUGGGGACUGAAGCGACUUCCCCAUCUCCCAUAGAGGGGCACAGACUGACAGGCAGUCAACGACCCUUGUUUCCGGGGGCUUAUCUUCUCUCCUCCAGGCAUCUGAAGCCUUGCAGCUUCCCUGCCCCUCAUUUGGCAGCCCUCCUGUCUCAGCAGUGGGGAGAGGUGGAGGCCCUGGGAAAGAGUCUGCCUAUUCCUAGACCAGACUACGGGGCUGAGGGCAGGAGAAGGGAAGGAGGUGGGAGAGCAAAGAUUGAGAAGAAGGUCUGUCCCAGGCCAGGACUGGGUGAAGGCAUGCAGCUGGUGUGCAGCUGUCUGGGCUCUCCUCUCCAGACACCUGCCACCCCUCUCCAAGUCCUGCAUGGUGUCCUUCCUCCUUUGGAAUGCUCUAAUGCUCUUCCUUCUCACCCUGGUAUUCAGGGUCUGGAAACCUCUCUGCAGCUCAUAUCUAAGUGUAGGACAGGCAGCAUGCCAGGAAACACCCCAGCAGAGGGCCCCUGCUCUUCUUUCUAUACCCCUGCCCCCACCAGGACCCUGACUGAGGGCCCAGAAUCCUGUUUUCUCCAUCCCUGCAAACUGCCAAAGCAGCGGGAGGUGUGAGGCCAAGAGCAAGAUGCUUGCUGGUAAAUUUGGAGUUGCAUCCUCAUCCUUCUUCCUUUAUUGUGGCCUCUUUCCUCCACUGCCUCCUUCCCUAAGGUGUCACAUAACUUCCCCCCAACCCAACACUUGCUCGGCCUUCAGGUCGGGUGGCCUCGGUGACCUCCUUUCUGUUCUGCUUGGACACUGUGGCCACCUCUUCCAGGAACCCAGAAGAAUGAAUUUGCAAUGGGGACUUUCAGAGACACCAGUCCAGAGAGAUUCUUCCUAGAGUGGAACAGGACCUCCUUUUAUUGUUCCCAUCACCUCCCAGAAAGAGCUUCACAUGCUGAAACUCAGAACGAGGGCCUGUGUUGCAGAUUCCAUAAAGAAGACCAAAGGUACUCCCAGCGGGCAAGCCUUGGGGCUGUGAGGCACAGCUGGCCAGAGUCCGAGAGGCACAGACCAAUGAAGAAAUCUUUUUUUUUAAACUGUGCUUUAUUUAGGGCUAAGCUGGAGAAAGCGUCAUCCAAUAGUUACAGAAGGUUACAAGGAGUUUUAGGGAGUUGAGUGUGAAAAGAGCAGUUGUACUGAACUGCAGCUGUUUUCUUUUUUUUUCUUUUUUUUUUCUUUUUUGUUUUUUGUUUUUUUUUACAUCUGGACAUCCUAAAAGGAGGAGUCAAGAGAAAAAAAGAAAAUGAAAAACAACAACAACAACAAAAUUGACAGAAAGAAAGGAAAGGCAGGAGGCCCCAGAGGAACUGGAAAUUUGUUCUUCUAAAGGGAAACAAUGGUAGGUCUGAGAACCCCCGGCCUCCAGAUGACCUGGACAUCAAUGUGAAGGAAUUGAGGCAGAAUGCCAAAGCAAUCUUCCCAAGGGUGCAAAUAAAUUAUAAUAAAUAUGUUAUACUUUAAAAUAUAUGUGUUCUUAAAUAAUUCAGUGUUUUUCUGAUUCUGAGUUUUUUAAGCAAUGUCUUUAACUGCUCUAAAGUCAUUUACCAAAGAUAAAUAUCGUGCUUUCAUUAAAUAGUUUUCCUUGUUUUUUUCUCUAUCAUUACAAUUAAAAGUCCUACAAAAUAUGCAAAUUUAUUUACAGAAAAACAGAGCCGGCAUCAUUUAAACAUCCCUGUUUUUCAAAAUUCCUUGUAAACAGUUUCAGAAAUUCUUCAAAGAUUGUUUAUUUUUCUCUCUCUUUUUUAAGGUUUUGUGUGUGUGUGUGUUGUCUAGUCGUUUUAAGAUGAAAGUUCCCAGUUCUCCCUUGCCCGGAAAGUCUCUGGAGCAAGCGUGGAAGGCGAGUGAAGCGGAAGGUGAGUGAAGCGCGCGCAGCUCCCGGAGGGAAGCAAGAGGCGAGGACGGCGGCGGCGACGACCCGGGCAACGCGACCGUUCCCGGCCGAUGGCGUGGCCUCCACCGGCGACAGGCAGCCAGGUGCCCGCAGGUGUGGGGCAAGUUCGGCCUGGCCCUUGGGGACAACGGCGUCCGACAGCACUCGCGGGGAGAAGGGGUUGAUGCUCUGUCUAAACUCUACAAAAGUACAGUCCUACAACAUCUGGGAUUUUAGCAGUAAUGCUAACUUCUAUAGGUUUUUUUUUCUUUUUUUUUUUUUUAUUUUUUGCUUUCCUCUAAUUUUUCUUCUAUUAUAUAGGUAUUUUAAACUUUUCCUUUUUAAAAUUCUGUACAACUAUUAGGAUUUUAAGAGGGGGAAGAGUUAGAAGCAUUUACAGACUUUUCACAACAAUGACCUUGCUUGGUAAGUCCCAUUUGUCCCCUCUUUGUUUUCUCACACUCCACGGUUAAUGAGUUUUAAGAUUUGUGUUGCUUUCCCCAAAUAUCCACCAAUUUGUUCAUCUUAACAGCUCCAUCCAGACAUAGAAUACAGAAAACCAUAGGAAAGUGUCAUAGACUUGGAUGAGGGUCAUCAAAGCGCCUCUCAAAGUAUCAAAGAACUAUUAUCUUGCUGUUUUAAAAGCACUGAAGCGUUAUAUUUCCUUUUUUUUUUUGGUUGUUUUUUUGUUGUUUUUUGUUUUUUUUUUUAAUUUUUUAUUACAUUUUUUCAUAGAAUCGCUCUAAGCUGUUUCAAGAACAGCCAUGAGGCAGGAAGGAGGGGGUCCUCCAUUCCCCCUCUAUUUGACAUAGAGCUACACAUCUGCAAUAAAAAGUUUGGUCCUUUGGUCCCUAAAUAGCUAAAGGAAUGACAGAUAGAGAUGCUCAGUGGCGGCCUCCCAGCCGCCCCCUGGGGACCAGGCCCCACACACCACUUGCCCCAGCCUGCCUCAGGCGCCCAUGGGCUGGAAAAGCCCCGGGAUCGGUAAGCAGCGUCUCCUCCCAGUUCCCAGCCCUUCAGCCUCCCCGUCUGGUCUCGUGAUAUUUUGUUUUAAAGUUGCCUUUUGUGUGUGUUUUUUUUUCUCAUUUUUCUUCAUCUUCUUCUUAUGUCAUAUAUAUAUUUUCCCCCAAACACGUGCCCUCUGAACUCCAUAGACGCUAUACUUUCCUUGAAGAAAUGUUACAGUCACACAGACAGUGUCUGGAGUCUUCAGCUUCAUUGAUAUUGGCUGAUAUGUCAAAGGUGUCAUCCAACAGUUCUCAUUUAUAAAUAUAUAUAGAGAGAGGUUUGUUUUUUAAUGUAGCCCGUUCAGCAUCCUGCCCUAAAAUGAAGAAAAUCAGGGCUGAUUAAGCCAAGAGGGAAAACACAAACAGCAUCCAAACACCAAUAGGAACCUGCCUCAGGGGUUAGGAUGGGAGCUCUAGGGGAUGGUGGGAGGGAAGGAAGAGAGACCAGUAUGAGAAUUAGUCAUGAUCAUGAUACAUUAAAAAGAAAUAUACUCUUCUAUUCAGAGUAGAAACCACUGGGAAGUCUAGUGGUGAUGGUUGUAGCUGAGGUUUCGUAGUUGGGAGAAGGUUCUUGAUUUGGGUUACUUUAGCAUUCUGGAUUGGGGGUAGCUACAUCUAAGGGGAGAAUUUGGGACUGUGAGAUAUGCAUUCAUAAUUAAACUUGUCUCUGAGAGAUCUAGCCCAGAUACAAUAUGUAUACAGAAGCCUAGCAAACAAGAUAGCAAAAAUCUAGCAGCCCAGCCCACUCCUCCCAGCUCAAGGGAAAGAAGGAAGACACAUCCGUGACUCAAAUUUUGUAGAAUCCUUGCCCAGCUUCCAGCCAACCACUUCUUUCCCGGGGUCAGUAACUAUUUGCGAGGCUGUGUAUAUAUAUGUAUAUCUGGAUAUAUGUGUAGAAUAUAUUCACCUGCACAUAUGUGGAUAUACAUGGAUAUGUGUGUAUGUAUAUGCAUAUAUACACACAUACACACACAUAAUACUUUUCUCAUACAUGCCAGGGAAUUUAGAGGAAAUUCAGAACUUCAAGGGAGUGGAUGGGAAAACCUAAAAAAAGGUCAGAAGAGAUUUAAUUAUCAAACUUAAAUAAAUUAACUCAGACAGUGUUUGAUUUUGUUUUGAAUGGUGGCUUUUUGGUGUUUUGUUUUGCUUUAAAAAAAUCAUGAUCUGACUAGAAUCAGAAGGCGAAUGCUUAAUCAUUGUGAAUUAACAAAUGAGACUCAUCUCCAUUCUAGCAAGCAGCUUCCACUUAUACAUGGGGGUGACUGGUUACAUCAAGAAAGUUAGAACUGCAAAGCCCCCACUUGAGGGGACAACGUCAUGCGUAUAUCAAUCCAUGCUGGCAGGUUUUUCACACUGUUGAUUCAACAAACAGCAAACCGUACACAGCAGUCUAAACAAUUACAACACCAAAUAAAAUAAUAAUAAAAUUAAAAAACACUUGUCAAGGACCCUUUUUCAGUUGUAAACAAAAAGGUGCAUUUUGCUUUUGUUAGUACUGUUUCUUCCAAACCAACCAAAAAAACCCUCCCGAGCCCCCAGUCCCCAGCCUCCCCUCCCCACAUUUAAUUUAGCAGAAGUGGUUACAAUACAAACCUUACAAUUGUUACCGGGCUCUCUUGCAGAGGCCUCUGGCUUUGUACUCUAGUUUUUUGGUUUAGAAUUUUGUUUUUAUCAUUCUGUUACUGUAGAUAUUUUGUUUUUGUUUUUUGUUUUUUGGUUUUUUUUUUUUUCCCUUUGAAGUGAGAUUGAAAAUAGCCUAACUGGAAAGACCAGACCUAGGAUAGUGUCAAUUGAAAAAGGCCCCCAAAUUUCUAGAAAAAAAUAAAAUCACAAUAUUUUCAAGUGCAAGUAAAUCAACCACGCAUAGAUAUUUUUAAGAUGUUUUCCUUAUUUUUAAGAAAAAAAUAAUGGUUUGCACAGGUAAAUGAUCCCAUGUUUGAUAAUUCAGGAAUUCAUCUUUAUUUUGACUAUUUUUUGUUCUUUUGUUUUGUUUUUUUCUCUAUGUGACAUCUAGAGAAGCAUAAAAAAACGCUGAACAAGAAAAACCAAACAACAGAAAGUAAAACCACUGCAAGCACCAAGAACAAAACGAAAAUGAGCACAGCAAAAAAGAUUGUGGCAGCACAAAAGUCAAGAAAAUGCACGUGUGAUCAUGACUGGCCAAUCAUCAACUGAUACAACAUCCAAGAAAAACGCUCCAAUCACAGCACCUCCACGAAACUUGACGGCAAUUGUCAUGCAACCGAUUCUUAGCCUUGUUACAUGACGCCAUCAUGUCACACUGUGAACUUUGAGUUGAUUUGAACUUACGGAUGGGGGACUUUUCUCCACUCUCAUGUGAUUACGUGAACUUUAUUCCUAGCUCAGCGCGAGACUGUGGUGGAUUUGACUGGCCCUGGUUGGGUUGUUGGAAUUUGAUUGAAUGACAAAAGAAGAAAAGA